rnacentral:rRNA from 1 species
UACGUAGGGGGCUAGCGUUGUCCGGAAUCAUUGGGCGUAAAGCGCGUGUAGGCGGUCCGGUAAGUCUGCUCUGAAAGCCUGGGGCUCAACCCUGGGAGGCGGGUGGAUACUGCUGAGCUCGAGUCCGGAAGAGGCGAGUGGAAUCCUGGUGUAGCGGUGAAAUGCGCAGAUAUCAGGAGGAACACCAAUGGCGAAGGCAGCUCGCUGGGACGGUACUGACGCUGAGACGCGAAAGCGUGGGGAGCAAACAGG